ensembl:lncRNA
CUUUAUCUUUCCCACUACAUUAAACCCAUUGUUAAGGUAGGACCUACUUUAUCUUUCCCACUACAUUAAACCCAUUGUUAAGGUAGGACCUACUUUAUCUUUCCCACUACAUUAAACCCAUUGCCUUGUGUCAACCAGAUUAAAUAUUAAAGGGAUACUGAGAGAUUUGGGUAUUUAAGAGUUUUUCUUUAACAUAUCCUGAAUCAGACAAUGUAAUUUAUAAUGUGUUUAUUUCUCUGUGUGCAGUUUAGAUGUUAGUCUAUAGAGUCACACUUCCAGGGCACAGUAGCCAGAUACCUUUCAAAGCAGGGACAUGCAUCUUUAUCUACUCUAAAGCUUUGCAAAAAUGUGUAGUCUUAUCAAGCCAUAGUCAUCAAGGUUUUAUACAUGAUUUUGGCAAAUCAUUAGCAUUUUACAUUUCCCUUCCUAAUUCUGUCCUGUUGCUGCACAGAGAUGUAUAGAGAUUACAGAUACGCUUUUUAUCUGUGGCGUAGCUGCCUUAAUGGGAUAGAUUUACAUUUUUGUCUUUCAGCAGAGGCUCUCGUCUAGAACAAUUGGUGUUAAAUGCCUUACUAAAGGACGCAAUAAUACAAAUAUCCCUGGCUCAGGUAUUCAAACCAGCAAACUUUCAGUUACUUGCACAGCACCCUAACAAUUAAGCUUUGCCACCCAGUCCUGUCCUUGGGGACUGAUCAUAUAAUAACUUUAUUUUCCAACUGCAAUUACUUCAUUUGACUCAAGGCAAUUGGACAUCCUAGUGAAAUAUCUCAAUCUCACAGUAUCCUUUUAAAAUGUUAUUACCUACUGAUGCCUUCCACUUACCAAUAGGAUUAGACCUGUCUAAGCAAUUUGCUCAAUAUUUAUUGCCUAUGUUGUCCACUCUUGUGUGAAUGCUGUUUGUACGUAAUGUGAGAAUGAAUGUAUGUGAGCAUGAAUUUCUAUGUAUGAAAGAUACAGAUUUAUAUUUGACAGUGUUUUGUAUAGAAUCAUUUUACAAGCACAUCUCUGUAUAUAAAAUGUGUUUAUAUUUUAUUUACUUGCAUACUGUAGCCUUUUGUUAAAGCCUAGCAGAUUUCAUUUUUAGCAGUUUAUUCAAUCCUUUGUUCAUCAUGUGAUUUAUUUGUCAUAGUCCAACUUGUCAUUCUCUUCUCACAUGUGAUCCUGAACGGUCUUAUAAUUCUGUCUCACUGGUUUUGCCUGUGAAAUAAAUGGAUUUUACAUACAAACACCACUGCUACUGUGUCUUAUGCACAAGUCUCUUUCCCCCUAUUAAUUCAAAAUGCCCCCUCCCAUAUUUCAACCGCUUGCUAAAAUACUUACCAACACCCCCAACUCUCCUGCGUUCUAAAAUUAGUCCUGUACAUUGCUCAUUCUGGUUUUGCUGUAGAGGUUAAGAAACCUUAUCCUUGAAUGUAAACUAUGUACCCCAACACAGCCCUCACCCAUACCCCCACUACUCACAACCCCACUUUCUCU